GGUUUACACAAAGCGUAUAAGGAAAGUUAUGCAGUUGUACAAAGCCGAAGGGUUCUCCGACUUACGAUGGAUAAAUUGAGGGUCGUAAAAGCUUGGGUGCGAGCAAGUAGGAGGAGAAUUUCAAUCGAAGUACAGAUUUUUCUUGAAAUCGAGGAUAAUGAUGUUAUUACCAGCUGAUUAAGGAGGAGUAGUGUAAGUGUCAGAUGGGUACGAACGUCAUCUUGUGACAGCAUCACCUUUGUUUGGCUAAAGUACAAGAAAACUGCAGCAUGUAAGACUACAUGUACAUCGACUUUGAAUAAUCUACCUGGUAUAUCCUCAAAAAGGCAACUCAAAUACAGAAAGUGCAUAUAAUUUGGAAAAGAGACCAUCAAUCCACUGGGGGGUAUCGCAUGAAAGCAAUGAUUAUAGAAUAUUGUAAGGUUGGAGGAUCGAGUUAUAGUACAACAGGCAGGCAAGUAAUGGUACUUUGUUCUGGAAAUUUUUCGCCCCAGUUAAGUUUUAUUUUUCUCAUUCUGCCCUCCUUACAAGUAGGUGAAUUUAAAACGGGACAAAUUCGAAGAAGGCAGCAUAUAUCUUUUAAACACAAAUGUGUCUGAUCAAAUUUUAGAAGGGCAAAAUUGUUUUCAAGGGUGAAAGAGUGAAUAUUUUAAAAAUUAGAAUGGGGUGAAAAUAUCCAAUAAUACAGGUUAUAUGUAUUAAAACAGUACAUAUGCAUUUCUCUUUUCUUUAAAAUGAAAAUAAUUUGUUCUGUAAAAGGACAAAUUUUGUUCUGAUUUGUAUCAAAUAAAUAAAUAUGUGCCAGAUUUAUUAGUUUGCAGGCACCUAAGAUACCAUCAGUUGUGCGUCAAGCUGUGCAAAAAUUCUAUGUCAUGUUACAGAAUCUUUCUU